CACUCCUACGGGAGGCAGCAGUGGGGAAUUUUGGACAAUGGGGGCAACCCUGAUCCAGCAAUGCCGCGUGAGUGAAGAAGGCCUUCGGGUUGUAAAGCUCUUUUGUCAGGGAAGAAACGGUGGUGGCGAAUAACUACUACUAAUGACGGUACCUGAAGAAUAAGCACCGGCUAACUACGUGCCAGCAGCCGCGGUAAUACGUAGGGUGCAAGCGUUAAUCGGAAUUACUGGGCGUAAAGCGUGCGCAGGCGGUUGUGUAAGUCAGAUGUGAAAUCCCCGGGCUCAACCUGGGAAUUGCAUUUGAGACUGCACGGCUAGAGUGUGUCAGAGGGGGGUAGAAUUCCACGUGUAGCAGUGAAAUGCGUAGAUAUGUGGAGGAAUACCGAUGGCGAAGGCAGCCCCCUGGGAUAACACUGACGCUCAUGCACGAAAGCGUGGGGAGCAAACAGGAUUAGAAACCCCGGUAGUCCCA
rnacentral:rRNA from 1 species